CCUACGGGGGGCUGCAGUGGGGAAUAUUGGACAAUGGGGGCAACCCUGAUCCAGCCAUGCCGCGUGUGUGAAGAGGGCCCUCGGGUUGUAAAGCACUUUCAGUGAGGAAGAACGCCUGGUGGUUAAUACCCAUCAGGAAAGACAUCACUCACAGAAGAAGCACCGGCUAACUCCGUGCCAGCAGCCGCGGUAAUACGGAGGGUGCGAGCGUUAAUCGGAAUUACUGGGCGUAAAGCGCGCGUAGGUGGCUUGAUAAGCCGGUUGUGAAAGCCCCGGGCUCAACCUGGGAACGGCAUCCGGAACUGUCAAGCUAGAGUGCAGGAGAGGAAGGUAGAAUUCCCGGUGUAGCGGUGAAAUGCGUAGAGAUCGGGAGGAAUACCAGUGGCGAAGGCGGCCUUCUGGACUGACACUGACACUGAGGUGCGAAAGCGUGGGUAGCAAACAGGAUUAGAUACCCUUGUAGUC
rnacentral:rRNA from 1 species